AGUUGCCAGCGUGUUCGGAUUUAUUGGGCGUAAAGCGAGAGCCAGCGGUUUUUUAAGUCUGAUGUGAAACCUUGGGUCUACCGAGAAAGGCAUCGGAAACUGGGAACUUGAGUGCAGAGGGGCAGUGGAACUCCAUUGUAGCGGUGAGAUGGUAGAUAUAUGGAAGAACACCAGUGGGGAGGCGGCUGUCUGAUCUGUAACUGACGGUGAAGGUUGAAAGUAUGGGUAGCAGACCGGAUUAGAUUACCUGGUAGUUCAUACCGUUAACGAUGAAUUGUUAGUGUUGGAGGGUUUUCGGCCUUCAGUUGUGCAGGUAACGCCUUAAGCAUUUCGCCUGGGGAGUACGGCCGCAAGGGUGAAACUCAAAAGAAAUGGCGGGGGCCCGCACCAACGGUGGAGCAUGUUGUUUUAUUUGAAGGUUCGGGGAGAACCUUACCAGGUUUUGACCUUCUAUGCAAAUUUAAGAGAUUAGGCGUUUCCUUUGGGGACAAGGAUACCGGUGGUGCAUGGUUGUUGUCAGCUUGUGUUGUGAGAUGUUGGGUUAAGUUCCGCAACGAGGGCAACCCUUUUUUUCAGGUGCCAGCCUUAAAUUGGGCCAUUUGGUGAGGCUGCCGGUGGCCAACCGGAGGAAGGGGGGGGAGGAGUCAAAUUCUCCUUCCCCUUUUGACCUGGGGUUCCCCCGUGGUUCAAUGGAUGGUUCAACGAGGUGGGAACUUGGGAGAGUAAAGUAAUUUUUUAAAACCAUUUUCAGUUUGGAUUGUUGGGUGCAAAUUGCCUUCCAGAAAUUGGAAUCGGUUGUAAUCGCGGAUCAGCAUGCCGCGGGGAAUACGUUCCCGGGCCUUGUACACACCGCCCGUCACCCCAUGGGAGUUUGUAACACCCAAAGUCGGUGGGGUUACCUUUUAGGAACCAGCCGCCUAAGGUGGGACAGAUGAUUAGGGGAAGUCGUAACCCACU
rnacentral:rRNA from 2 species